rnacentral:rRNA from 1 species
UACGAAGGGGGCUAGCGUUGUUCGGAUUUACUGGGUGUAAAGCGCACGUAGGCGGAUCGUUAAGUCGGGGGUGAAAUCCUGGAGCUCAACUCCAGAACUGCCUUCGAUACUGGCGAUCUUGAGUCCGGAAGAGGUGAGUGGAACUCCUAGUGUAGAGGUGGAAUUCGUAGAUAUUAGGAAGAACACCAGUGGCGAAGGCGGCUCACUGGUCCGGUACUGACGCUGAGGUGCGAAAGCGUGGGGAGCAAACAGG